UGAGGAAUAUUGGUCAAUGGGGCGGAAGCCUGAACCAGCCAAGUAGCGUGAGGGAAGACUGCCCUAUGGGUUGUAAACCUCUUUUAUAAGGGAAUAAAAUACGGGACGUGUCCUGUUUUGCAUGUACCUUAUGAAUAAGGACCGGCUAAUUCCGUGCCAGCAGCCGCGGUAAUACGGAAGUCCAGGCGUUAUCCGGAUUUAUUGGGUUUAAAGGGAGCGCAGGCGGUCUUAUAAGCGUGACGUGAAAUGCAGCGGCUCAACCGUAUGAUGUGCGUCGCGAACUGUGAGACUUGAGUGUAUUCGAUGUCAGCGG
rnacentral:rRNA from 1 species